AAGAAAGGUGUAGUGAUUAUGCAGUUGAGUCGGGCUAGAUCGUUUUUCGCUCGCCAUAUUGCGGCUUAGCCGCGUGCUCCUUAGCUGUAGCAUCCAUCGCGUCUGCGUUACUUUUUAUCUGCAAUAGGCAGCCAUUAGCUUCUCUAGAUGCAAAUACGCGGAUGUUCGUUUAAUGUCGAUUGCCACGCAUGAUCGCUUGCGUCUCGAAAUUAUAGGUGGAUAAGCGACUCGGUUCUUACUGGUCGAGGUAGAACGAGAGACGAGAGAAGGUAAGGAGAGUGGCCUGUUAGAGAGGCGAAUGUCUUGUCUUCUCAGGAGAGUUCGCCAGGGUGAUUCAUCUCGGAAUGAUUGAACGAGAGACGGCU